GACGAACGCUGGCGGCGUGCCUAAUACAUGCAAGUAGGACGCAGUUGCGAACGGGUGAGUAACGCGUAGGUAACUACCUAUUAGAGGGGGAUAACUAUUGGAAACGAUAGCUAAUACCGCAUACUAGUAGAUGGACCUGCGUUGUAUUAGCUAGUAGGUAGGUAAAUGGCCUACCUAGGCAACGAUACAUACCCGAUCUGAGAGGAUGAUCGGCCAAAGUGUGAGUUAGACACGGCCCAUAUUUCAAAAGGAGGCAGAAGUAGGGAAUAUUCGGCAAUGGGGGGAACCCUGACCGAGGAACGCCGCGUGAGCGAAGAAGGUUUUCGGAUCGUAAAGCUCUGUUGUUAAGGAAGCGGUACUUAACCAGAAAGGGACGGCUAACUACGUGCCAGCAGCCGCGGUAAUUC
rnacentral:rRNA from 1 species